UUGCACUGCAUACCUAUGAAACUAAACUUAAUUAGGUAUAUGGAAAACCACUGUUGAACAUUUCAUAAUUCCAUAGAUGCCCCUACUAUUAAUCUAUUUCUCUCUCAUGGCACUCUCUCUUAUACUCAUCUCUCAUCGUUCUCUCUGUUCUACUCCACUUUUUCUUUCGCCAUAGUUGCAGAAGCUUGGCUGGUGAAGAUGAGAAACCAAAAUCCGAUCCCACAGAUGGAACUAUGUGAUGUGGAUCCGCGAAAAAAUAUUAGAGAGAGAUGUGGGUCCCUAGAGAUGUAUACAAACUGGAUGGUGACACGGUGGAGCAACCGAGUCAACUCGAUGAGUACGUCUCCGAGUUGUUUAUGUGGAUGAUUGAUGAUGACAUAGCACCAUAUCAGUAAAAUAAAGUUUGUAAUAUAACUACCAUUACGUUCUAAGGUUUGCAAUGUGAUGAUGACAUGAGCGAAUGAUGUUAUUAUUCAGUCUAAACAAAAUCCGGUCAACUGAUGUUA